UCACCUACGGGACGCAGCAGUGGGGAAUAUUGCACAAUGGGGGAAACCCUGAUGCAGCGACGCCGCGUGGAGGAAGAAGGUCUUCGGAUUGUAAACUCCUGUCCUUGGGGACGAAAAUGACGGUACCUGGGGAGGAAGCUCCGGCUAACUACGUGCCAGCAGCCGCGGUAAUACGUAGGGAGCGAGCGUUGUCCGGAAUUACUGGGUGUAAAGGGAGCGUAGGCGGGGAUGCAAGUUGGGUGUCAAAACUACCGGCUCAACUGGUAGUCGCACUCAAAACUGCAGCUCUUGAGUGAAGUAGAGGG
rnacentral:rRNA from 1 species